rnacentral:pre_miRNA from 2 species
UAGCAGCACGUAAAUAUUGGUGUAGUAAAAUAAACCUUAAACCCCAAUAUUAUUGUGCUGCUUAA